UUUUAUGCUACAAGUCAAGCAUUUUGUGGAGGUAGUUGCCCUGGAGAAUCCUUCCAUUUUGUGGCAUGGUGUGGGCUACAGGGAUGGCAAGGAUUUUUCUGUUGUAGCCCGAUGUAGGAGUUUUUUUAGGUGAUGCGAUUUUGGGUUUUUUGUUUGCAGGUUGUGCGAAGGACCAAGCUUCCAUGGUUGUGUGAGAUUGAUGACGGAAGUGCGGUAUCCAUGGAGUUUGGAUGAGAACGAAGGCAAAGGCACUUUGGCGAAGAGGCUUGCGGUGGAGGUUCAGCGGCGAUUGGGGAUUGUUCUGUGGAAGAUGGGUGUUG
rnacentral:lncRNA from 1 species